AAGUCGAACGAAGUAGCAAUACUUAGUGGCAGACGGGUGAGUAACAUGUGGGUAUCUGCCCUUUGGCCUGGAAUAACACGAGGAAACUUGUGCUAAUACCAGAUAAGUCUUUACGGAGAAAGCUUUAUGCACCAUUGGAUGAGCCCGCACUUGAUUAGUUUGUUGGUGGGGUAAAGGCCUACCAAGACUGUGAUCAAUAGCUGAUUUGAGAGGAUGAUCAGCCACAUUGGGACUGAGACACGGCCCAAACUCCUACGGGAGGCAGCAGUGGGGAAUCUUGCACAAUGGAGGAAACUCUGAUGCAGCGAUGCCGCGUGAGUGAAGAAGGCCUUUGGGUUGUAAAGCUCUUUCGUCGGGGAAGAAAAUGACUGUACCCGAAUAAGAAGGUCCGGCUAACUUCGUGCCAGCAGCCGCGGUAAUACGAAGGGACCUAGCGUUGUUCGGAAUUACUGGGCUUAAAGAGUUCGUAGGUGGUUGAAAAAGUUGGUGGUGAAAUCCCAGAGCUUAACUCUGGAA
rnacentral:rRNA from 1 species